rnacentral:rRNA from 1 species
GACAGAGGAUGCAAGCGUUAUCCGGAAUGAUUGGGCGUAAAGCGUCUGUAGGUGGCUUUUUAAGUCCGCCGUCAAAUCCCAGGGCUCAACCCUGGACAGGCGGUGGAAACUACCAAGCUGGAGUACGGUAGGGGCAGGAGGGAAUUUCCGGUGGAGCGGUGAAAUGCGUAGAGGAUCGGAAAGAACACCAACGGCGAAAGCGCUCUACUGGGCCAUAACUGACCACUGGAGGGACGAAAGCUAGGG